CAGAUCAUACUUCAUAGGAUCAUUUCUAUAGUAUGAUUAGCGAGUUCCUUCACCGAACUUCGGUAUCCCUCUCCUUAGG
rnacentral:snoRNA from 1 species